AGCAGCCGCGGUAAUUCCAGCUCCAAUAGCGUAUAUUAAAGUUGUUGCAGUUAAAAAGCUCGUAGUUGAAUUUCGGGAUCAGUACGCCGGUCGUGCCUUCGGUAUGCACUGGUGUCACUGGUUUCUCCCUUCUGAAGAACCAUCAUGCCAUUAAGUUGGUGUGGCGGGAAAUCAGGACUGUUACUUUGAAAAAAUUAGAGUGUUUAAAGCAGGCUCGCGCUUGAAUACAUUAGCAUGGAAUAAUGAAAUAGGACGUUUGACCCUAUUUUGUUGGUUUCUAGGAUCGACGUAAUGAUUAAUAGGGAUAGUUGGGGGCAUUAGUAUUCAAUUGUCAGAGGUGAAAUUCUUGGAUUUAUUGAAGACUAACUACUGCGAAAGCAUUUGCCAAGGAUGUUUUCAUUAAUCAAGAACGAAAGUUAGGGGAUCGAAGACGAUCAGAUACCGUCGUAGUCUUAACCAUAAACUAUGCCGACUAGGGAUCGGAUGAUGUUAAUUUUUAAUGACUCAUUCGGCGCCUUAC
rnacentral:rRNA from 1 species